rnacentral:misc_RNA from 1 species
GACGAAGAAACGCAGCGAAAUGCGAUAAGUAAUGCGAAUUGCAGAAUUCAGUGAGUCAUCGAAUCUUUGAACGCACAUUGCGCCCCGUGGUAUUCCGCGGGGCAUGCCUGUUCGAGCGUCAUUUCAACCCUCAAGCCUGGCUUGGUGUUGGGCUCUGCCGUCCGCGGCCGGCCCUAAAGACAGUGGCGGCGCCGCAUGGCCCUGAGCGUAGUACAUCUCUCGCUCCAGGGCCCCGCGGUGGCCUGCCAGAACCCCCAACUCUAUGGUUGACCUCGGAUCAGGUAGGGAUACCCGCUGAACUUAAGCAUAUCAAUAAGCGGAGGA